rnacentral:rRNA from 1 species
UCAAGCUACUAAGAGCGUGUGUGUGGAUGCCUAGGCGCAAGAAGGCGAAGAAGGACGCGAUCAGCUGCGAUAAGCCUCGGGAAGCCGCUAAUAGGCUGUGAUCCGGGGAUUUCCGAAUGGGGAAACCCAAUGAGUGCGAACACUCAUUACGUAUAUCUGAAUACAUAGGGUGUACGAGCGAACUCGGGGAAGUGAACCAUCUCAGUACCCGAAGGAAGAGAAAACAACAGUGAUUCCGCAAGUAGUGGCGAGCGAACGCGGAAAAGUCUAAACCAGGCGAUUCGAAAGGAGAGCUUGGGGUUGCAGGACCACAAUAAUCAAGUGGCCUUUCCGUGACGAACGGAAGGAUCGCUUGGUUAAACGAGGGAUAGGAAAGUGUUAAUCGAACGGUCUGGAAAGGCCGGCCAUAGAGCGUGACAGCCGCGUAGGUGAAAAUGCAAUCCUCCUUCCAGUGGCUCCUAAGUAGGGCGGGGCACGAGAAACCCUGCUUGAAUCCGCCGGGACCAUCCGGCAAGGCUAAAUACUCGUUUGCGACCGAUAGUGAACCAGUACCGUGAGGGAAAGGUGAAAAGAACCCCUGCGAGGGGAGUGAAAUAGUACCUGAAACCACACGCCUACAAGCAGUUGGAGGGCUAUGCUCCGCAAGGAGAAUGCCUGACAUCGUGCCUAUUGCAUAAUGAGCUGGCUAGUUAUUCUCAGUGGCAAGGUUAAGCGAAAGCGAGCCGAAGCGAAAGCGAGUCUGAACAGGGCGAUGGAGUCGCUGGGAAUAGACGCGAAGCGGGAUGAUCUACCCUUGGCCAGGAUGAAGGCCGUGUAACAGCGGCUGGAGGUCCGAACCAGUGUUGGUUGAAAACAGCUUGGAUGAGCUGAGGGUAGGGGUGAAAGGCUAAUCAAAUUCCGUGAUAGCUCGUUCUCUCCGAAAUAGCUUUAGGGCUAGCCUCUCGUGGUCCGUCGCGGUGGUAGAGAACUGAUUGGACUAGGGGCCUUCCCAGGUUACCGAAUCCAACCAAACUGCGAAUGCCGUGAAUGUGUAGCGAGGGAGUCAGACAGUGGGGGCUAAGCUUCAUUGUCGAAAGGGAAACAGCCCAGACCGUCAACUAAGGUCCCCAAAUUCAUGCUCAGUGGGAAAGGAAGUCGGGACGCUCAGACAGCCAGGAGGUUGGCUUAGAAGCAGCCAUCCUUUAAAGAAAGCGUAAUAGCUCACUGGUCAAGUGGCUCUGCGCGGACAAUUCAACGGGGCUCAAGCACGAUACCGAAGCUGCGUCUGCGAUCAGGAUGCGUCUUGGUCGCGGGGUAGAGGAGCAUUCCGUGCGCGUCGAAGGCAGACCGAAAGGAUUGCUGGAGCGCACAGAAGAGACCCUGCCGGCACAAGUAGCGAUAAAGCAGCCGAGAACGCUGCUCGCCGAAAGUCUAAGGUUUCCUGAGCAAGGUCAAUCCGCUCAGGGUCAGUCGGAUCCUAAGGUGAGGCCGAGAGGCGUAGCCGAUGGACAACAGGUCAACAUUCCUGUACUUCCUUUCGGGUGAUCAAGACCGAUGGGGUGACGCAGGAGGCUAGGUGGACCCAUCCGUUGGUCGAGAUGGGCCAAGCUCGUAGGCGAGAGGGACAGGCAAAUCCGUUCCUCUGGUUCACAGCCGCCGCCGAGAAGUGAGUGCGAGGCCGCAAGGCCGUAAAGCCACCGAUGCCACGCUGCCGAGAAAAACCUCUAAGGAAUCCGGAGGGAAUCCGUACCGCAAUCCGACACAGGUAGACAAGGAGAAAAUCCUCAGGCGCUCGAGUGAAGCGAUGCGAAGGAACUCGGCAAAUUGACACCGUAACUUCGGAAUAAGGUGUGCCCCAUGGCGUGUAGGGAUUUACUCCUGAAGCGCCGCGGGGUUGCAAUGAAAAGGCCCAGGCGACUGUUUAUCAAAAACACAGGACUCUGCGAAGUCGAAAACGACGUAUAGGGUCUGACGCCUGCCCGGUGCUGGAAGGUUAAGGAGAGGGGUCAGCCGCAAGGCAAAGCUCUGAACCGAAGCCCCAGUAAACGGCGGCCGUAACUAUAACGGUCCUAAGGUAGCGAAAUUCCUUGUCGGGUAAGUUCCGACCUGCACGAAUGGCGUAACGAUCUGAGAACUGUCUUAACCUGCCGCCCGGCGAACUUGUGGUCCCGGUGAAGACGCCGGGUGCCCGCCACUAGACGGAAAGACCCCGUGCACCUUUACUAUACCCUUUCAUGGAACUAUGGGGCGAUCUGCGCAGGAUAGGUGGGAGGCUUUGAUUCCGGGUUCUCGGACUCGGAGGAGCCAACGGUGAGAUACCACCCUGAUGGUUCUGUGGUUCUAACUUACUCCCGUAAUCCGGGAGAAGGACAAUGGAAGGCGGGUAGUUUGACUGGGGCGGUCGCCUCCUAAAUUGUAACGGAGGCGCUCGAAGCUUGGUUCACUCUGUUUGGAAAUCAGAGGGCGAGUGCAAAGGCAUAAACCAGGUUGACUGCGAGACCUACAAGUCAAGCAGGUGGGAAACCAGGACUUAGUGAUCCGGUGGUUCUGUAUGGAAGGGCCAUCGCUCAACGGAUAAAAGGUACGCCGGGGAUAACAGGCUGAUCUUGCCCAAGAGUUCACAUCGACGGCAAGGUUUGGCACCUCGAUGUCGGCUCAUCGCAUCCUGGGGCUGAAGCAGGUCCCAAGGGUCCGGCUGUUCGCCGGUUAAAGCGGUACGUGAGCUGGGUUCAGAACGUCGUGAGACAGUUCGGUCCCUAUCUCGUGUGGGCGCAGGAAAUUUGCGGGGCCCCGACCCUAGUACGAGAGGACCGGGUUGGACGAACCUCCUGUGCACCGGUUGUCGCGCCAGCGGCACACGCCGGGUAGCGGAGUUCGGUCUGGAUAAACGCUGAAGGCAUAUAAGCGUGAAGCCGACCCCAAGAUGAGAUUUCCCCGGGGCGCAAGCCCCCUGAAGGACCGUGGGAGAUGACCACGUUGAUAGGCCGGGUGUGGAAGCGCUGCGAGGCGCGAAGCUGACCGGUACUAAUCGUCCGUGCGGCUUGGCCAU